AUUGAACGCUGGCGGCAUGCCUUACACAUGCAAGUCGAACGGCAGCACGGGUGCUUGCACCUGGUGGCGAGUGGCGAACGGGUGAGUAAUACAUCGGAACAUGUCCUGUAGUGGGGGAUAGCCCGGCGAAAGCCGGAUUAAUACCGCAUACGAUCCACGGAUGAAAGCGGGGGACCUUCGGGCCUCGCGCUAUAGGGUUGGCCGAUGGCUGAUUAGCUAGUUGGUGGGGUAAAGGCCUACCAAGACGACGAUCAGUAGCUGGUCUGAGAGGACGACCAGCCACACUGGGACUGAGACACGGCCCAGACUCCUACGGGAGGCAGCAGUGGGGAAUUUUAGACAAUGGGCGAAAGCCUGAUCCAGCAAUGCCGCGUGUGUGAAGAAGGACUUCGGGUUGUAAAGCACUUUUGUCCGGAAAGAAAUCCUUGACUCUAAUACAGUCGGGGGAUGACGGUACCGGAAGAAUAAGCACCGGCUAACUACGUG
rnacentral:rRNA from 1 species